AUUCCUACAUCUGAACUAACAAACAAAAAAGAGAACACCCCCUCAGACGUUGCUACCACCCCCAUUACUAUCCAUGAUCCAAGGCUUAAUGGUUAAACACAGUUAUAGAGUUGCAUAUUCCCAUCCUUUUGGCUUCCCACAGGAGAAUAUAUUUGGUAACAUCGUCUGGAAAACAUAGAGUUCUUUCUUUACAUGCACCUAAAACAAACAGAGAUGAAAGGAGUGUUCAGAAAAAUGUCCAGAUUAAUACAGAAUUAGCCAGAAGACUAUGAACGCACAUGAGGCAGAAGCAGCUGCAGAACAGGCAGUUUCAAAGGUAGAAGCUGCCAUGACAGCGGCUGAAGAAGCUGCAAAGGAAGCAGAUGCAGCAGAAGCUGCUCGAGCUUAUGCCGAAGAAGCUUCAAAGACACUGAAAGGAAAAAAACAUCUGCAAAGUGAUGGUUUGUACGUGAGAUGACAUAGAAGAAUAAGAAGCUAAAUGGGUUACAGGUGAUGAGAGAGAGAGAAGCACAGAAGUAGUGUUUGUUGUUGAUGAUUUUCCACUUAGAAACUCUUUUUAGUUAUUUCGUGACAAAAGAAAUUCUUUUUAGUUGUAAAGCAGUAAAUCUCAGAUGCUAAAGCCAUUGUAUUAUUGUUCACACUUUACUCUAC